rnacentral:rRNA from 1 species
CGUAGGCGGUCGCGUGCGUCGGAGGUGAAAUCCCCGGGCUUAACCCGGGACCUGCCUCUGAUACGGCGCGGCUUGAGUCCGGGAGAGGGGAGCAGAAUUCCCAGUGUAGCGGUGAAAUGCGUAGAUAUUGGGAGGAAUACCGGUGGCGAAGGCGGCUCCCUGGACCGGUACUGACGCUGAGGCGCGAAAGCGUGGGGAGCAAACAGGAUUAGAUACCCUGGUAGUCCACGCCGUAAACGAUGGGUGCUUGGUGUCGGGGGUAUCGACCCCUCCGGUGCCGAAGCUAACGCAUUAAGCACCCCGCCUGGGGAGUACGGUCGCAAGGCUGAA